CCUACGGGUGGCAGCAGUGGGGAAUAUUGCACAAUGGGGGAAACCCUGAUGCAGCGACGCCGCGUGAGUGAAGAAGUAUCUCGGUACGUAAAGCUCUAUUAGCAGGGAAGAUAAUGACGGUAUCUGACCAAUAAGCACCGGCUAACUACGUGCCAGCAGCCGCGGUAAUACGUAGGGGGCAAGCGUUAUCCGGAUUUACUGGGUGUAAAGGGAGCGUAGACGGCAGCACAAGUCUGGUGUGAAAUCCCAGGGCUUAACCCCGGAACUGCUUUGGAAACUGUGCGGCUAGAGUACAGGAGGGGUAGGCGGAAUUCUUAGUGUAGCGGUGAAAUGCGUAGAGAUUAAGAGGAACACCGAUUGCGAAGGCGGCUUACUAGACUGUAACUGACGUUGAGGCGCGAAAGCGUGGGGAGCAAACAGGAUUAGAUACCCGGGUAGUC
rnacentral:rRNA from 1 species